rnacentral:rRNA from 1 species
AUUGAACGCUGGCGGCAGGCCUAACACAUGCAAGUCGAACGGAGUGGCGGACGGGUGAGUAAUGUCUGGGAAUCUGCCUUGUAGGGGGGGAUAACGUCCGGAAACGGGCGCUAAUACCGCAUACUAUCAGAUGAGCCGAGGUCGGAUUAGCUGGUUGGUGGGGUAAAGGCCCACCAAGGCGACGAUCCGUAGCUGGUCUGAGAGGAUGAACAGUCACACUGGAACGGAGACACGGUCCAGACUCCUACGGGAGGCAGCAGUGGGGAAUAUUGCACAAUGGGCGAAAGCCUGAUGCAGCCAUGCCGCGUGUGUGAAGAAGGUCUUCGGGUUGUAAAGCACUUUAAGUUGGGAGGCGUUACCCGCAGAAUAAGCACCGGCUAACUUCGUGCCAGCAGCCGCGGUAAUAC